AUGCCACCGUGCUGUGUGUUGGUCCAGGCACAGCACUCACCUCAACACAAGUGGCUGGUUGUGAGGACCCAUCAGCACAAGUGGCUGGUUGUGAGGACCCAUCAGCACAAGUGGCUGGUUGUGAGGACCCAUCAGCACAAGUGGCUGGUUGUGAGGACCCAUCAGCACAAGUGGCUGGUUGUGAGGACCCAUCAGCACAAGUGGCUGGUUGUGAGGACCCAUCAGCACAAGUGGCUGGUUGUGAGGACCCAUCAGCACAAGUGGCUGGUUGUGAGGACCCAUCAGCACAAGUGGCUGGUUGUGAGGACCCAUCAGCACAAGUGGCUGGUUGUGAGGACCCAUCAGCACAAGUGGCUGGUUGUGAGGACCCAUCAGCACAAGUGGCUGGUUGUGAGGACCCAUCAGCACUCACCUCAACACAAGUGGCUGGUUGAGAGGACCCAUCAGCACUCACCUCAACACAAGUGGCUGGUUGAGAGGACCCAUCAGCACUCACCUCAACACAAGUGGCUGGUUGUGAGGACCCAUCAGCACAAGUGGCUGGUUGUGAGGACCCAUCAGCACAAGUGGCUGGUUGUGAGGACCCAUCAGCACAAGUGGCUGGUUGUGAGGACCCAUCAGCACAAGUGGCUGGUUGUGAGGACCCAUCAGCACAAGUGGCUGGUUGUGAGGACCCAUCAGCACAAGUGGCUGGUUGUGAGGACCCAUCAGCACAAGUGGCUGGUUGUGAGGACCCAUCAGCACAAGUGGCUGGUUGUGAGGACCCAUCAGCACAAGUGGCUGGUUGUGAGGACCCAUCAGCACAAGUGGCUGGUUGUGAGGACCCAUCAGCACAAGUGGCUGGUUGUGAGGACCCAUCAGCACAAGUGGCUGGUUGUGAGGACCCAUCAGCACAAGUGGCUGGUUGUGAGGACCCAUCAGCACAAGUGGCUGGUUGUGAGGACCCAUCAGCACAAGUGGCUGGUUGUGAGGACCCAUCAGCACUCACCUCAACACAAGUGGCUGGUUGUGAGGACCCAUCAGCACUCACCUCAACACAAGUGGCUGGUUGUGAGGACCCAUCAGCACUCACCUCAACACAAGUGGCUGGUUGUGAGGACCCAUCAGCACUCACCUCAACACAAGUGGCUGGUUGUGAGGACCCAUCAGCACAAGUGGCUGGUUGUGAGGACCCAUCAGCACAAGUGGCUGGUUGUGAGGACCCAUCAGCACUCACCUCAACACAAGUGGCUGGUUGUGAGAACCCAUCAGCACUCACCUCAACACAAGUGGCUGGUUGUGAGGACCCAUCAGCACUCACCUCAACACAAGUGGCUGGUUGUGAGGACCCAUCAGCACUCACCUCAACACAAGUGGCUGGUUGUGAGGACCCAUCAGCACUCACCUCAACACAAGUGGCUGGUUGUGAGGACCCAUCAGCACUCACCUCAACACAAGUGGCUGGUUGUGAGGACCCAUCAGCACUCACCUCAACACAAGUGGCUGGUUGUGAGGACCCAAUCAGCACUCACCUCAACACAAGUGGCUGGUUGUGAGGACCCAUCAGCACUCACCUCAACACAAGUGGCUGGUUGUGAGGACCCAUCAGCACUCACCUCAACACAAGUAGCUGGUUGA
rnacentral:lncRNA from 8 species